UACGUAGGGGGCAAGCGUUGUCCGGAAUUAUUGGGCGUAAAGAGCUCGUAGGCGGUCUGUCGCGUCUGCUGUGAAAACCCGGGGCUCAACCCCGGGCUUGCAGUGGAUACGGGCAGACUAGAGUUCGGUAGGGGAGACUGGAAUUCCUGGUGUAGCGGUGAAAUGCGCAGAUAUCAGGAGGAACACCGGUGGCGAAGGCGGGUCUCUGGGCCGAUACUGACGCUGAGGAGCGAAAGCGUGGGGAGCGAACAGG
rnacentral:rRNA from 1 species